rnacentral:snRNA from 1 species
GGAUGUGAGGACAAUCUGGCUGAGACAUUGACACCCCAUUAAUCGACGGGAUUGACUUAGCUAACUGGCUCACUAAGUGGAUAUCGCCUUCUCUUUCCUCCUUCACCCCUCCAUGUGCAUUCUCCCUCCCCCAAAGCUUUGAGCUCAAAGUGGGCCCCUUUUCCCAAUAGAAGAAGACCAGGUCUCCAGUCAAAGGUAGACAAGUAGCUGUAUGAUCUAGACAUCUCCAGCCCCAUGCAAACUUAAGCAGACAAAACCCCAGCUUAGAACUGGGGAAAUACACAGCAAGCCCUAAUCUUAGCCAAAGAACUAUUGGCAGCU